AUAAAAAAAAAAAAAAAAAAAAAGAACUUCUCAUGAGAAGUGAGGUUUGCCUCAACUCUCCUUAUUCAAACCAUUAUCACAUCUUUGGAUUUGAAAUUAUAUCAAAUAAACAUUCAAAUUUUUUUUCUCAAUGGAGAACUAAAUAAGAAGAUCUAUAUAGAUCAAUUGACUUGUUUUAUGGCAACUAAAUAGAAAGGCAAAGUUAACAACUACAAAGGUCCAUUUAUAACCUACAAUAAUCAUCUAAACAAUGGUAUAUUGCACUAAUGGGUUUAUGAUGGUCUAAGAACACUAUUGCAUGUUAAAUGGUGUAAGGGUAGAUUCUAUAUUCUAUUUUUU
rnacentral:lncRNA from 1 species